rnacentral:lncRNA from 1 species
UGAGGAGGAUGGCCUGGUGUGGCGGCUUCUCUGCACAAAGAGAGGCACUUGGGGCCUGGGCAGAAGGGAGCCCUCGGAUUCUGUCCACUACUGUGCUGCUGUGCUUGCCAGUGCUGAGGUGCAGGGAAGGUGGGGUCAAGAGCAAUGCCCCCACAGAGCCGAGUCUUGUGAAGAGCAAGCCCAGUGAGACGUCCUCGUUCCCGAGGGAUGAAGGUUGGUAGGCCUGGCUUAGCAGAGAGCACACAGACAGCACGAGCAGGUUGGAGCCGCCUUGAGGAAUGCCGGGCGCACUGGCUGCGCUCACUGCUGCCUGGCCGCCAUGACGCUGCAGACCGGAGCUACGGGUCAAGCCCUGCGGCCUUCUCACCGAUGCGCUUAUUAGUUGUUUGCUGAGUAUUUUCCGAGACAUUUGAUGCAGGUUGCCCCUGGAACUAGCUUCU